rnacentral:lncRNA from 1 species
GGCCGGGAUUCGAAAUUAUGCUAGGUAUAUAUCAUGGCACCAAAUCGCCUUGCCUUAUGACCGACGCGUUAUUGAAAUGUUAUUUAUUACUUUGGCAUUUAAUUCACCCCAGGUCUGCUUUAUAUAAUCGUCAUAACAUCAGCCCAACAAUGUUAGAUCUGUAAAUUUGAUUUUGCAAAUAUUUUGUUUUUCUCUCGCCGGGAAUCGAACUCAUGCUACUGAGAUAUCGUAACUCCAUUCGCCUUGCACUGUAUCCGACACACUAGACCACUCGGCCACACAUCAAUAAAGCUUUCGGUCGCCGGGUGGUACCUUUCCUCGUCACUCGUAAUACAGUACAUGGUAUACAAGGUAUACAAGGCAUGACAUAUCUAUUGUAAAGGAUUCUACAAAUAAAUGCAAGAUACAG